rnacentral:rRNA from 1 species
GACGAACGCUGGCGGCGUGCUUAACACAUGCAAGUCGAGCGGUAAGGCCCUUUCGGGGGUACACGAGCGGCGAACGGGUGAGUAACACGUGGGUGACCUGCCCUCAGCUCUGGGAUAAGCCCGGGAAACUGGGUCUAAUACCGGAUAUGACUCCAUGACGCAUGUUGUGGGGUGGAAAGCCUUGUGCGGCUGAGGAUGGGCCCGCGGCCUAUCAGCUUGUUGGUGGGGUGAGGCCUACCAAGGCGACGACGGGUAGCCGGCCUGAGAGGGCGACCGGCCACACUGGGACUGAGACACGGCCCAGACUCCUACGGGAGGCAGCAGUGGGGAAUAUUGCGCAAUGGGCGAAAGCCUGACGCAGCGACGCCGCGUGGGUGAUGAAGGCCU